rnacentral:rRNA from 1 species
GAUGAACGCUGGCGGCGUGCCUAAUACAUGCAAGUCGAGCGAACAGACGAGGAGCUUGCUCCUUUGACGUUAGCGGCGGACGGGUGAGUAACACGUAGGUAACCUACCUAUAAGACUGGGAUAACUUCGGGAAACCGGAGCUAAUACCGGAUAAUAUUUCGAACCGCAUGGUUCGAUAGUGAAAGAUGGCUUUGCUAUCACUUAUAGAUGGACCUGCGCCGUAUUAGCUAGUUGGUAAGGUAACGGCUUACCAAGGCAACGAUACGUAGCCGACCUGAGAGGGGGAUCGGCCACACUGGGACUGAGACACGGUCCAGACUCCUACGGGAGGCAGCAGUAGGGAAUCUUCCGCAAUGGGCGAAAGCCUGACGGAGCAACGCCGCGUGAGUGAUGAAGGUCUUCGGAUCGUAAAACUCUGUUAUUAGGGAAGAACAAACGUGUAAGUAACUGUGCACGUCUUGACGGUACCUAAUCAGAAAGCCACGGCUAACUACGUG